GCAGCGCGCGGGCGUGGGGCCCGUGGGGACCGGGAGGGAGCAGGGCCGCGGCGGACGGCGCGGGAGGGGCUCGGCGAGGGGACUGGAGAGCCGGGCCCAGCCGCACCUUGGCUUCCGCGGAGUGAGCCUGCCAUGGCCCCGCCGGAGAAGGGCGACGGGUCCCGAGCUUGCCCAGACCCAGAGCCUUAGGUUGGGAAAGUGGCUGCGAGGCCCAUUCCCGGUUUAAUUCCUGCCCUAGCGAAGUUUCCUUGGGAUGGGGUGAAUGGGGCGUCCCCUGCCUUGGGCUUCUGCUAACUGUUGGGCGGUUGCGGAAGUGUCUGCACUUGGGGCAAGCGCCCGGCUUCGACAGCGGACGCUGUGCCCCAGGGGACAUCGGCGUCCCCAGGGCAUGGCCUACGGGGUGCUGGGUCGGCAGCUAUUCCGAGAAAGUCAGGACUUGGCACGUGAAGCGGAGGGCGUUGCUGUAGUGGAACAGGAAAGGCCGUGAAAACAGAAAGUAAGAAGACGUCAUGAAGCUUCAGGUUGAUCUCAAGCCCGUUUCCAAAUCCCAAAUCUGGGUUUCCCAAGAGGAGUUUGUUUCCAUUCCUUACGGGGCGUCUUUAUUCGUGCCUCUGUCUUCAGUUGCCUGGCAGCAGGCUUGUUUACAUGAUCCGACCCUGCAACACCGGACAGCUCCGGUUUGCAGAAGUAAAUCAGCGAAUUGUCUGGAGUUGGAGAUCAGAAUCUGCUGUUCGCAUCCCGGUUGUGACGUCGUGUCCGGUGAGGGGCAGAGCCACAGCCCAUGGCUGGCAAUUGAUGGCCUGAAGAAAGGCCACACUGGCCGAGCAGGGUGUCUCCUGCCUGUAAUCCCCGCACUUUAGGAGGCAGAGGGGGUGGAUCACUUGAGGCCAGGAGUUCGAGACCAGCCCGGACAAUUUGGCGAAUCCCCCACUCUACUAAAAAUGAAAAAAUUAGCCGAGCUUGGUGGCACUUGCCUGUGGUCCCAGCUACUUGGGAGGCUAAGCCUCCUUAUGCUGUUAGGAAUGAAGAAAAGUGAACUGAAGCUGACCCAGCCAGGAGGCCAGGUUUUCUGCUUCUCAGGUUUACUGAGGCUCUGCUUUACCUACAGAGUGUUUGGGAAUAAAGAGAAGACUGGAAA